CUCUUGGCAAUGUUCUUUAUUUUACUAUGGAUAGUGUUGGCAUUAUUUCAGUUAAUAUCUAUAGCUACUGGAAAAAUUUACCUCCACAAGUCGGUCGCCGUUGCUAACAAUAAAAAUUUACCGGGAGUUUCAAUUUUGAAGCCUCUGAUUGGGGAAGAACCGAAUCUUAUAAAAAAUCUCCAAACAUUUUUUGAACUAAAUUACCCUAAGGU